AUGGUGCAGGGGCAGAGCCCGGUGGUGAAGCUGGGGGCGUGGGGCAGCGACGGCGGCGCCGCCCACGACAUCGACGUCGUGGCGGCGCCGCCGCACCGGCUGCAUAGCAUCGCCCUCCGCUGGGGCAAGGUCAUCGACUCCCUCGCCUUCACCUACACCGACAAGGACGGGCAGCUGCACGCCGCCGGGCCCUGGGGCGGUGCCGGAGGCGUGUCGGAAGACCUGAUCACCCUGGGGCCCUCGGAGUACGUGACGGAGGUCGGCUGGACCGUGGGCCCGUUCAAGCUCAAGGAGAUCGAGGCGUGCGUCACCUCGCUCAAGUUCGUGACCAACCUGGGGACCACCCACGGCCCCUUCGGCAACGGCGACGGCGCGCACCACAGCCUGCCCGUGCUGGACGCCGGUAGUGUCGUCGGCAUGUUCUGCCGCGCCGAAGACUACCUCCACGCCAUCGGCUUCUAUGUCCGACCCUUGGCCGUCACCGAAUCCACAGACUCGCCGGCCAAGCCUGAGGGGGAGAGUUUGCCCUAA
rnacentral:rRNA from 1 species